AAUACAUACAGAAGUGAUAUAUUAAAUCACCACCCAACUAAUAUAGCACAUCACUGACCUAAUUCGUCUAUGCCCUAAACGUUUCAACACACACCGAAUUAAGCAUCACAAAGUCCCUAUCCUGUAAUGACAGGGCUCGGCCGACAGUUAUUUGUUGUACUCAUGAUUAUCUCAAAUAACACAAUCGAGAUAACCGCAUGGGCAAUGAGUCAUAAGACUUAUGUAGUGUAUUAUCGAAAUAUUUUUUCUCAGUCCCUCACAUUAAUCUGUAUCAGUCCAAACACUUUACUAGACAUACUCCGUGAGAUCGUAUUUUCUCAUAACCCUGAAAUGCACGCUAAGUUAGUUAAUUCGGACCUCCACUUCAUAACGUAGUUCUAAGUUGAGGGUAUAAAAGGGUUGGUGCUUACACAGUGACAUUAAGGGAAGAACUUAUGUCACUUUACUAACUGGUCGAUAAGCACAUACAGUAUGAUAUAUAUGCUAUGACGGAGCUCCUACUCAAUGAGUAGUGUCACGCUCUGAAAACGCCAUACAAUUCUUGGUCUAGCUACCACUAAAAUAUCUAACCAUCACAACUC
rnacentral:lncRNA from 1 species